rnacentral:rRNA from 1 species
GAUGAACGCUGGCGGCGUGCCUAAUACAUGCAAGUCGAGCGAACGGACGAGGAGCUUGCUUCUCUGAUGUUAGCGGCGGACGGGUGAGUAACACGUGGAUAACCUACCUAUAAGACUGGGAUAACUUCGGGAAACCGGAGCUAAUACCGGAUAAUAUUUUGAACCGCAUGGUCCAAAAGUGAAAGACGGUCUUGCUGUCACUUAUAGAUGGAUCCGCGCUGCAUUAGCUAGUUGGUAAGGUAACGGCUUACCAAGGCAACGAUGCAUAGCCGACCUGAGAGGGUGAUCGGCCACACUGGAACUGAGACACGGUCCAGACUCCUACGGGAGGCAGCAGUAGGGAAUCUUCCGCAAUGGGCGAAAGCCUGACGGAGCAACGCCGCGUGAGUGAUGAAGGUCUUCGGAUCGUAAAACUCUGUUAUUAGGGAAGAACAUAUGUGUAAGUAACUGUGCACAUCUUGACGGUACCUAAUCAGAAAGCCACGGCUAACUACGUG